rnacentral:rRNA from 1 species
UCUGCGAUAAGCGUCGGUAAGGUGAUAUGAACCGUUAUAACCGGCGAUUUCCGAAUGGGGAAACCCAGUGUGAUUCGUCACACUAUCAUUAACUGAAUCCAUAGGUUAAUGAGGCGAACCGGGGGAACUGAAACAUCUAAGUACCCCGAGGAAAAGAAAUCAACCGAGAUUCCCCCAGUAGCGGCGAGCGAACGGGGAGCAGCCCAGAGCCUGAAUCAGUGUGUGUGUUAGUGGAAGCGUCUGGAAAGGCGUGCGAUACAGGGUGACAGCCCCGUACACAAAAAUGCACAUGCUGUGAGCUCGAUGAGUAGGGCGGGACACGUGGUAUCCUGUCUGAAUAUGGGGGGACCAUCCUCCAAGGCUAAAUACUCCUGACUGACCGAUAGUGAACCAGUACCGUGAGGGAAAGGCGAAAAGAACCCCGGCGAGGGGAGUGAAAAAGAACCUGAAACCGUGUACGUACAAGCAGUGGGAGCACAGAGCAAUCUGUGUGACUGCGUACCUUUUGUAUAAUGGGUCAGCGACUUAUAUUCUGUAGCAAGGUUAACCGAAUAGGGGAGCCGAAGGGAAACCGAGUCUUAACUGGGCGUUAAGUUGCAGGGUAUAGACCCGAAACCCGGUGAUCUAGCCAUGGGCAGGUUGAAGGUUGGGUAACACUAACUGGAGGACCGAACCGACUAAUGUUGAAAAAUUAGCGGAUGACUUGUGGCUGGGGGUGAAAGGCCAAUCAAACCGGGAGAUAGCUGGUUCUCCCCGAAAGCUAUUUAGGUAGCGCCUCGUGAAUUCAUCUCCGGGGGUAGAGCACUGUUUCGGCAAGGGGGUCAUCCCGACUUACCAACCCGAUGCAAACUGCGAAUACCGGAGAAUGUUAUCACGGGAGACACACGGCGGGUGCUAACGUCCGUCGUGAAGAGGGAAACAACCCAGACCGCCAGCUAAGGUCCCAAAGUCAUGGUUAAGUGGGAAACGAUGUGGGAAG